rnacentral:rRNA from 2 species
AAAGAAAGCGUAAUAGCUCACUGGUCGAGUCGGCCUGCGCGGAAGAUGUAACGGGGCUAAACCAUGCACCGAAGCUGCGGCAGCGACGCUUAUGCGUUGUUGGGUAGGGGAGCGUUCUGUAAGCCUGUGAAGGUGUGCUGUGAGGCAUGCUGGAGGUAUCAGAAGUGCGAAUGCUGACAUAAGUAACGAUAAAGCGGGUGAAAAGCCCGCUCGCCGGAAGAC